rnacentral:misc_RNA from 1 species
UAUAUUCUGCCUAAAAUAAGUUCUGAUACGCAUCACAGGAGCAGAAAGGUAUCUUUGUUUCAUUAUGGUCAUAAAAAUGAUAUGUAAAUAAGCUAAGGAUGAGAUGCUAUCCCAGAUCAGCAUCCUGCUUCCUGCUUAGUAAGGUUGCAUGCUUACCAGGAGGACUGCCUUGAUAUUUUAUUGGGAAGUCAACCAUGUUGCUCCUGAUUCUGCUUAGUCCCUCUUUGUUUUCAACAGCACAUCAACAGUGUCUUCUUG